rnacentral:rRNA from 1 species
AGCGAACGUUUGCGGCGGGCUUAACACAUGCAAGUCGAACGGGCUGUUCCUUCGGGGGCAGUCAGUGGCGCACGGGUGCGUAACACGUAGGUAAUCAACCCUCUGGUUGGGGAUAACACUUCGAAAGGAGUGCUAAUACCCGGUAUGGCGCAGCGGUCUUCGGAUCGCGGCGAGAAAGACCCGCAAGGGUUGCCAGAGGACGAGCCUGCGGCCCAUCAGCUAGUUGGCGAGGUAACGGCUCACCAAGGCGAAGACGGGUAGCUGGUCUGAGAGGAUGAUCAGCCACACUGGAACUGAGACACGGUCCAGACUCCUACGGGAGGCAGCAGUGGGGAAUCUUGCGCAAUGGGCGAAAGCCUGACGCAGCGACGCCGCGUGAGUGAUGAAGGCCUCGGUUGUAAGACUCUGUGGGAGGAGACGAAUAAAUACGUAGCGAACAGCUCCGACUGAUGACGGUAGUCCUUUAGUCAAGCACCGGCUAACU